AUUCUUCUCCCUUGUUCCAUCUUGCUCACCUCCUCCUCUCUAUUUGUCUCACUCAUCUCUCUAUAUUUAUACUCUUUCCUCUUCUCUACUUCUCUUUUCUGAUCAUAUCAGCCCUGUAAUUUUCUCUCCGCCGCCAGCAUGUUUUGGCAGAAAAGCUGAAGACCAGUUCUGCACUUCUUCGAAAAUUACUGUCGUGCCCCUCUAAUUUAAAUAAUAUCUUCCUCCCAUAAUAUCACAACACCACGCAUACCAUAAAAAACAGACACUUCGAAAAGGCUCUCCCUCAAAAUUUCAGCACCUUCGGACCAUCUGUGUGGCCCCAUGUGCCGCCUGAAUCAUUUCCAGUGUUGCCCCUUAAGUCGCUAGUUUCUUGUGCUUUGCUUAUCACAUUCACCUGACCUACCAUCACUUGGAGUUUCAUCACCAAAGACUGGCCGCUGGCCACUCACAUGCUAGCUACAUCUGUGUGAGGCUCCCCCCACCCCCGGGACGGGAUCUGCAACUUCCUAAACUGAAAGAGAACUGUUUCCAGCCACUCUAUUAUGAAUCUUUCCUUCAAAGGCCUGCAAUUUUGUGAAGAUAUUUGUUGGUAAUGUUGAUUACUUGGAGGAUCUACUUGCUGCCAACAUCAAGAACCCGACCAAAUUGCUGCCAUUUGUAAGUUUAGGGUUUGUUUUACUUGAAGAUAGUGCUUGAGAAAUUGAGAGUCAGAUUUGUGGUUUUACAUGAGCAGAUUGAGAAUUGUGGGCGAAUUGUGUUAAGGACUUCUGGUGAUGCAUAGUUGCAGUAUACAUAUGUUAAUCCAGCAACAUGGUGACAAAUUAUUGGAAAAGGAACAACAUUUGUCAAACAUUGGGCAUAAUUCAAGCUUUUUCACACCUUUCUACCAACCAAUCAAGACAAAGAAUCUUGUUACUCAACCUGAAGACGCUGCAAGCAAGGAAAUGCAUGUGUUUGAAGACGCCCAAAGUCUUUCAAACGGUACUAUUGUUGAGUUUGUCAUUCUCAACGUGUUCAUUGAUGCCAAUUCUCGGUUCAAUUCUACGGUGCUGCCAAAGUAAUGUGGUUUCUUGCAUCACUCAUCCACCAACUUUCGAAUAGUCCUUGUUUGCUUCUUAGGAGAAGAAGCCAGACCAUGGGAAGACUCUUGUUGGUGACUAAUUCAAAAGAAUUGGGUCAAGCCAAGGGACGUCAGAAGUAAGGGAAAGUCUAUGGUCUCUAGCCAAAGCUAUUAUCAAGACUCAAAAAUUGACAGCUCCUCUACAAAUACUGAACUUCUACACCUAUUGAGGGAGCAGGGUUCAUGGAAGCAGUCACAAGGAUUAAGUUUAGGCAAUGUGGAUUAUCCUUACUUUCUACCAGGAAGGAAACAACCAUUUUCUGCACUGGAAGAUCCAUUUUAUCCAGAUCCUAGGGGAUAUCCUCAUGGACGUUUGGAGAGUUUGUUUCCUGUUGCAAGUGCAAGGUUUACUGUUUAAUUUUUCCUAUUUGUAUUUCUAAUUUGUGCUUACAGUAACUUUUCUUAAGUUCUUCGAAUGCCUGGUUGACCACCUGCCAAUGUUUUUUAUCAAUUACAAGAAGUAAAUGUUUUUUUUUUAUUGCUUUAUAGUUAUGAUGAUACUUUUUAUUGCUUUGUUGUCA